AUUGAACGCUGGCGGCCGGCCUAACAAAUGCAAGUCGCGCGAGCGGCGGCCGGGGGAGUAAUGUAUGGGGACUGCCCGAUAGCGGGGGAUAACAACUGGAAACGGUGGCUAAUACCGAAUACUAGAGGCUCACCCAUAUGGGAUGAGAUAGUAGGUGGGGUAAAGGCGCACCUAGGCGACGAUCUCUAGCUGGUCUGAGAGGAUGAUGAGCCACACUGGGACUGAGACACGGCCCAGACUCCUACGGAGUCAGCAGUGGGGAAUAUUGCACAAUGGGCGCAAGCCUGAUGCAUCCAUGCCGCGUGUAGGAAGAAGGCCUUCGGGUGGUAAAGUACUUUCAGCGGGGAGGCGUUACCCGCAGAAGAAGCACCGGCUAACUCCGUGCCAGCAGCCGCGGUAAUUC
rnacentral:rRNA from 1 species